rnacentral:lncRNA from 1 species
UCACUUGGACUCAGUGUCAACCUUGUGCUCGUCCUUGUUACACACAGCAAGAUGAAAUUUUUGAUCCAUCAAAGUCUACUUCUUAUUGCAAUAUUUCAUGUACUUCUUCAGAUUGCACUCAACUCAUUUCAUCCACAGGUAAAUAAAUUACUAUAUAGUUACUUGUUUUGUUAAAUUACUAUUAUGUAUAAAAAUCAAUACCAUUUAAACAAAAAAAAUGUUUUCAUUUUGUUUUAUAGGAAUGGAUCCUCCAACAUGUUAUCCAUUAACAAAAGCAUGUAAAUAUGGUAUGGUUUAUGGUGACGGAUCCUUCUCCGAAGGAUACUUCAGCCGUGAACGACUAACAGUAACACCAACAGACGCAAUUGAUGGUUUCUUUCUCGGAUGUGGGGAAAACAACCAAGGUCUGUUCGGCAUGUCUGCCGGCAUAUUAGGCCUUGGUCGUCAUCCAAUCUCUUUUGUCCAACAAACCGCUAAAAAAUACAACAAAAUUUUCUCUUAUUGUCUUCCUUCUACUUCCAGCGUUGUUGGCCACCUCACAUUUGGAGCUACCGAUAAUUAUAAGGUGGCCAACAACACCGUUAAAUACACUCCCUUAUCCACAAUCUCACGUAGUAAUUCCUUCUACGGUCUUGACAUCGUUGGAAUCAGUAUUGCCAAAACCAAGCUUUCAAUAUCAUCCUCUAUUUUCUCCUCCGGUGGCGCCAUUAUUGACUCUGGUACCGUCAUUACACGGCUGCCACCAUCUACCUAUGCUAGCCUUCGUAAUGCUUUCCGGAAAGAAAUGGCGAAAUAUCCAGCUGCUUCGGGGUUUUCCAUUUUAGAUACAUGCUACGAUCUUAGAGGGAGGAAUAAUGUGGUUGUUCCGAAGAUUAGUUUUGUCUUUGGUGGUGGUGUCACCGUGGAGCUUGGUGCACACGGAGUACUUUUCACUGUGAGUUCGAGGCAAGUUUGUUUGGCAUUUGCAGCGAAUAGAGAUGAUAGUGAUAUUACUAUCUUUGGGAAUGUGCAACAAAGAACACUAGAAGUUGUUUAUGAUGUUGGUGGUGGUAAGAUUGGGUUUGGACCAAAUGGUUGCAAGUGAACAUAGUUUUGAAUAUUUUGAUCAACGAUUCAUUCUUAUUUGAACAAAUACAUAUAUCCAAUUGAUCAAUGAUUAGUUAAUUGAUCCAAAGGGCUGUGUCGUAAAAAAUAUGAUAUUGUGUAACGUGACAUACUCUAUUUAGGUGUCUUCCUUAUGGGUUUAAAUUUGAUUAUGUUAUGAAUAAUGUUGUGAAUCAAACAAUUACUAUUUAACUAUGUAGCACGUGUACUUGAUACAUAAAUGUGAACUAUCUUAUUAGUAUCUACGUAUCCGUCAAAUAUUCUAUAAGUAUUCAAUAAAAUACUUUUUAAAAAUAAAAAAAAAAUAAUUCCAAUACUUUAUAGAUAUGUAUCUAAAAGUAUCUGUGAAGUAUCGGUCAGAUACAAUGACUUUAUGUUUAGAAUAUACAACUAUCAACCCAACAUUUCAACAUGCGCCAAGGGUGUGGGCCCCAAUUAUCCUCAUCUAUUGAUAACAAAAUAGGGGAAAUGAUAUGAGAGAUCGCAUAGUAAAACUCUUUGAAUUAUAUUAGGCCACUGAACACACCAAUCUUUAGAAAGUAAUAAUUUGUCAAGGCUGCUCAUUGAAAAGUGAUGACAAGUCAUCUUACGUUAUUUUAAGCAUAUUUUUCAACCACUUUAUUUAGGUUUGGAUCCAAUAUAUAGGAGUUUUAGAGCAAUUGUCUACGAUUUUCAGGAUAUUUUGCAAUGUCUUCGUUUAGAGUCAUGUAUUUUUAGUUUUCCCGCAACCAAUCACUACUUAGGUGUUUUGGAAGAGAUUUUGGAAGACCAUGAAUGAUGAUUCAAAAGGUCUCUGAAGACAUUACAAGAUAGAUAAAUUACAUUCGAAGGUCCGAUAAAUAAAUAGAGGGGAUUCGAAGAAUCCUAACCGCUGUUAACAUUCUGCAAUCAAAAUCAGGUUACUACUUCAUUACUAUUAUGUGCAAUCAGACUUAACUUGCAAAAAUUCCCCCGAUUUACAACUUGUAUUUAUUGUUUUUAUUUUAUUUUCUAUUUUAAAUAAGUAACACUAGUUGCCUAAUUGGAAUAACAAUCUGAGUGGAUACAAUAUUCACUUAUCACUCUAUUACUUGAUAACAAUUUGGUACAUUUGCCAAAACUAUCCAUCAACAAUAAUCUCCCAGAUACCACGUAAACCAUGCCGAUCAUACAAAGGUAAAUAAAAAGAACAUUUUUAUUAAUGAAUUGGUUAAAAUGAGGACAAUUUUCAUGAUAUUAAUAACUUCACCCAAACACUAGAAUCACAAGCGUAGACAUUAGAAACAAAGAAAAUGCAAGCAAUUUUAACAAACCGACCAUUAAUAAUCAGAGCAUUCUCCAAACUUCUAGUAUGCCACACCUCCACCUCUGAUGUAUCCAAUAAAGAUAAAAUACCACCUGAAGCUCCCAUAGAAGGCCUAUAACAAAAUACAACAUUCGUAUUCCCCUAAAAAGAAGCAUAAAAAAACACAUCAACAGGGAGCCCACUCUCUAAUUCUUCCACAUGUUUUAUAAAACAUGACUUUUCAUUAAUCAACGAUUCUUACACAAUAUUUAUAGAUUCCAAGGAUGCUAUAGAAAUAAGAAUACAGGCAAAUUCCAUCAUUUCAAGUUUUUUAGUACAAAGAUCAACUUUCAAGAGCCUCCCAAACAUCGAAGAGCAUAAACUAAGAAAUUGAAUAAUCCAUUCAUGCAAAGGAACACCAUAAAGCUGCAACCAUGUUCCUGAUUGUGCAAUUGAAGUCAGAACUUGUUACGACGAUCGCGUGAUCGCCCACGUGAAGGGGAGUGAUGUUGUCGAACCUAGUAGCCACGAGAAUAAGAACUGUAAUGUUAUUCAUGUUGUCCAUAAGAAGGAUCAUGAUAUUGUUGCGAAGAUGAACAUGAACGAUUAUGCUCACCAUAAUGUUCACAAGAAUAAGGUUCAAUUCAUGAUAUUGCUAUUCACAAUUGUCAAAAAGUGAAUCUCGAGACCUAUAAUUUUCAUCAAAGUGGUAAAUGUUGUCCAAGCCUGAAACGCGAGACCCUAUAUUUUCCAAAAUCUGAAGCGUGAGACCGUAUUAUGCCAAAACCUGAAAACCAUUGUCUGCGAUCACAAUUAUCUUGAAACCCUGUCUUGCUAACCUCAAACUUGUUGUAGCCCGAACGAACAUACUUGCCGAUAUGUACCCGUUGAUAUGUUCUAUCCUCGAUCACCUGGUCGGAUUGCUUUCUGACAUCUUGAACUCACCACAAUCCACUCUCUCCUAUGAAGCUCAAAUACUUGAUACGAUAUGGAUACGAUACUGCACUGAUACAGGAAAAUUUUAAAAUUCAAGAGACGAUACAACCAGGAUACUUUAAAUAAAAAAUUAAAUUUAAACUUAAAAUAUGAACCAUGGACUAAAAUUAAAAAAAAAAAAAGAAGGCGCAAAACCUAGUCGAAACAGACAUAUAACAACUAUAAGGCACAACAAUAAAAUUGUCCUAACGUGACAAUCAACAAUAUCAGCGUUCUCAAACCAACAAAAAGAUACAAAAUAGAUAAUGAACAAAAACAUAAGUAUAAGUAAAAUUUAUAAUAAUAAAAGUGACAAUUAGUCGAUUACAUAUAUGAUAUAUCCCAUAAAGAGAACACUAUUACUUAGUCCAUUACAUAUAUCUAAAGAAUAAUAGAAAUAUCAUAUAUCGUGCGCGUAUCGAUUUUCCACUGUCCGUCCCUCGCGUAUCUUCGAUGUAUCUGAAAAGUAUCGGACAAUUGUUUUUUAAAAAAAUAAAAUUUAAUCUCCAAAUACUCUUUUGAUACGUAUCGGGACGUAUCAGACAAGUAUCGGUGCAGUAUACAUAUCGGAUACCAGUACGUCAUGCAUUUUAGAGUAUAUGUGCUUCAGAGACUCUCCCCCUUCUCCCCAUAUGAUGUAACCCUAACAGGAACCCUUCCCUUCCAAAAAUUCUUCACCUCCGACGAAAAGGAUCGCGGCGAAGUGGCUGUAGGUUAGAUCUAGGGCCGCCACCUCUCUCUCUAGCUCUCAUUUUCUAUUAUUAUUUACUUAGAAAGAGAGCAUAUUUUAACAUAUUUAUUAGACUAUGGGUCAUGCUCAUUUGUUCUUACGAGAAAUUUAAGAAAAAGAAAAAAAUAAUUAAAGGAAAAAAGAAAAGAAUAUAUUCAUAAUUUUUUAUACUUUCAUAAUGUUGAUUACACACUCUAAUAUAUUUUUAUUAUAUUUAAUUUUUUAACAAAUGUUCAGAAGUUAGUAGUUAGUAUUUCUCUUAUAUUUACUAUCACUUGAGUCUUUAUUAUAAAAAUAAUUAAUUUUUAGAUUCAUUGAAUAAUUGACUUUUUAAUCUAUAAUAUAUCAAUUAUUUAAUAAAUUAAAAAACAUAUUUUUUAAUAUGGUUUAAAGAGUGGAGGGAGUACAAGACUCCUCCAUGAGCGGUGAUGGUGGAAAUCAGACAGAACCUUUCCAAAUCUUGUAAGACACGGAACCCUGAAAUGACCUAUGAACAACCAAGUUCAAUCAAAGACAUGUUAAUAAAGAAUCUAAUAUGGCCCUACGAAGAAUCUUUUACAUGAGCUUAUAUGAUCUGAAUUAUUUAAUUUUUUUACUAGGCAUAAUAACUAGUAUGCAAUAUCAUUUUUUUAUGCAAUGAUCUAUUGUCACGUCAAUCAAUGAAUAUGAAAACAUAUAUAUUUAGGUGUAUAUGUAAAAUUAAUUUUACCCAAUGUAUAGUAAUUAAAUGAAGAGUGAAACAUAUUCACACUUAAUUUUUUUUUAAUAAACUAAACAAAUUAUAUUAAUGGAAUAACAAAAGUCCCUCAAGCAUAAGGCGUGCUAGAGGUAACUGUUAAAUUUGAGUUUAAGUACAAUACAGUCAGGCUACCAACAGUCAAAGAAGCAAAAAAAGAAAUUACAUAGUAGCUCGAAAACAACAUAAAUGAUUUUGCCUCCAAAGGGAUACUCAAAGUCGAACGUAACGUAGUUCGCUUUCAACUACCAAUAUGUUUGGAGUUUAACCUUUUCAAGAAGUUCAGUAAGCCGAUCAAAAUUAUUAUUAAAUAUUCACACUCAAAUUAAAGAGAAGCAAGUUAUAGCUAAUAUAUGUGAUGCGCAACAGUGGUAAUGGUGGUAGAUACUCCCUCCGUUUCAAAAUGUAAGUAAAAAUGGUUUAGCGUAAGUUAAUGUAUUUAGUACAUAUGUAAAUCAAAUAUAUUAGUUUUUGUUGAUCAAUUUCUGCUUAUAUUUUGGGAUGGAAGAAGUACAUUACUUCUUCAAAUUUUUUUUUUUUUUGGGAAUUUCUUUAAAUAUUUAAUUGGUCGGAAAUUUAAUAUGGGCAUAUAAUUGGUCAGAAAUUUUCUUUUACCAGGCUUACAAAAUCAUGGGUGCAGAAAUGUGAACUGAAACUUUGUAAGUUCAACUAGCUCUAGUUGUUCAUGAAAUAAUAAUCAAGCAAAAGGUCUAAUAAUUAAAAAUUCACGUUGCAUUGAUAGCAGCAUUCUUGUCUUGGAUGAUAUGAUGCUAUACAAACACUAUAAUUUAGAAUGAAAAACAAUAUAACUAUAUAAUUUAGAAAUGCAACGAAAUUAUUUAAACCACGACAUAUAUGUCACAUUCUCUUUGAUAGUAACUACUAAUCCAUCAUUACAUGCAGAAUAUUUCAUAAUGCCGUCCUUGUAUUACCAUAAUUAGGAUUAAAUAUAUCAUGUGGGAUGUUGCAUUAUUUCAUUAUCAUUUUUUUUCAAUAUAUAUUCAUAUUUAUGACAACCUGUUCUAUAAAAUUUCGUUGUUUUUGUAUCAACAAAUAAAGAAAAAUUGAAGUUUGAAUUAAACACGGUUCUUUUUUUGAAAGUGAUUUGUAAUGGUUACAUUCUUACCGACAUGAAUGGUUUUAAUUCUAAUUUGCACAAAGUGACAAAUAUGUUGCCCCAUGCACCUUAUCUCAACCUUAGGUAAUUUGGACACACGAAUAAAAUUGCAUCAUUUUAUCUUAACGCAAUAUUAAUUGUAGCAUAGUUUAGCUUAAGCAAUAUAAAUUGGACAAUUACUCAAGUGUGAAACCAAACACUAAAUAAGACAUAAUUACACUACUUAAUUAUUUCAAUAUUUAGCUUGUUAAGGACAUGAAGCCAUUAGAUUAUCAUGUACUGUAGAGUACUAUAAUUCUUCUUUUUUAUUUAACCAAUUAAAAUUCCUUGCAAUUUUGUCGUAUCCAAAUAAGUUAAAUAUAUCACGCAACAAAAUUCAAUGUUGUGCCGGUUCUUAUAAGAAACAUUCGUUUAAAUUCCAAUCAAAGCUUUUUAUGAGAAGUUUAAUGAUUGCUAAUUGGAUAAAUUUCAUAUAUUCGUUCGUACCAUUUUCCUUUGAGAUUUUGAGUCACAGUGAGAAUGGGAACUAAGAUGUUGAAAUUUCAAUGAUGUUACUUCAUGGCUAAAGAACAUGGUAAUGGACCCCUUAGAAAUGACAAAGGUAAAUAUCAUUCAUUAAUCUCUUUGUUUUUAGGUUCGAAUGUCUUUUUGUGUUCCAGCUUUCGUCCACCCAUGAAAGUGUACUGGAUGUGGUCUACAUUCAAUCAUAUCACAACACAAUUUUAGAUAUAAUCAAAAAGCUUAAAAUGUUUUUGAGGAACUAAAUUGAAGAGUGUCUUAAUUUAGAGAUUAAGUGUUUUUGUAUCAACUUAUUGAGGCUUAUUUCCACGUUGAAUGCACUUUCAACGUGAAAAUUGUGAAGCCUCAAUUAGUAACUUCUACUGAAUGUAAAUUUUCGCAGAGGUUCCAAACGAAUGUUAAAUCAAUUGUUAAUUCAAUAACAUUUUAUAUUAUUUGACAAAAGAAGCAAGUAUUAAGGGAAAUGGGAUAAAUGUUGAAAACAAAGUGGGAGCAAUUGCACCAACAUUAGGUUAGUCCCUGAUUUUAACCCAUAACUUCUUUUUUUAGCAAAUUUUGAACCCUUAUAUUUUUUCUCUUUCUAAUCUAGUAACCCCUCUUAUUUUUCUCUCAAAUUUACACUAAUGUGAUACCAUUUAUUGACUUGGCAGCAAAAUGUUAUGGCCAACGUGAAUUAUUUUUAAAAUCAUAAAGAAAGAACAAAAAAUAAGUAGAUGCAGAUUGGGUCGAAAUAAGAAACUCUAAUUUUCGUCGCAUGCACCAAACUUAUUAUCGUCUUUUCUAUUAAAAGGAAAGUCAUAUUCACUACAAUAGUUUACGUAAAAAAAAAAAAAAAACUCACAUCAGUGUAAUUUUGAGAGAGCAAAGUUUCGCAAUUCGAGAGUUUACCUCAACUCGUUUUGCUUAGAUAAACUCGACUCGAGAACUUGUACGACCUAAAAUUAAAAUUAUAUGAAAUUUAUUAUACGCAUGACAUAUAUGCUAAUAUAAUAUUGCAAAUAGGUUAAUAGUGAAAAAUAUGACUUAAUUACAAAGGAAAAUUAUACCAAACUACCAUAAUAAAACGUUAUGCUCAACUUAGCAUCAAAAUACAAAAAUUAACGCACAAAAUAAUAAGUUUCAUAAGUCUCUAAGUUUAAGUCAUCCAUAAAACCAUCCGAAAAAGCAAGUUUCACAAGUUCGUAAAGUUGUUAAUAAAACUGUCCAAAAAAUAAACUAGUUAAUUUCUUCAAAAGGUCAUCAAACACCACCACCGCAACCCUAACCAACAUCCUUAACACCGACGUCGCAAUCGGAAUUUCCCCCGUCGGAAUCGUAACCCUAACUGGUAUGUGCUCUCAUGUUUAUGUUUUAAGAACUCAGAUAAAAAAGAAAAAGAAACAUUUCAUUUAGGAAGCUAGCAAUUUGUUACUGUAAAGGUAACUAUUCAGUAAACGUUUCAGUCUUUGGACUUGUAGAAUAAGAAUUGGGUUUUGAAAAAAAUGGGCCCAAAAAAUUGGGCCUAUUUUUUUUCUUUAGAUGUAAACUCGAUCGAGUUUACCGAGUGUCAACUCGGUCAAACUCGUCAAACUUUUCGAUUUUACCAGAAAUCGAGUUUACCUCUAAGUUAACACGAUUUUGAUACCUAAAAAUGUAAACUCGGUAAACUCGGAGAGUUAACACUCGAUUUGGGGAACAUUGAGAGGGAGAAUGCCAAAUUAAAAGUGAAAAAAUGUUGAGAUCAAAAUCAUUUCAAAAUGUAGGAGUGAAAAUCGCACAAUUGCGAUAUUGGUAUACCAAAAGUGCUUUAUGCCCAAAUCAAAUUAAAAGGGAUAUGAAUGGAAUCCAAAUACAUGUGUGAAUGGAAUGGAAGGGUUGUGAGGUCCACCAGCAUACAAACAUAUUGCGCAUGAUAUCCUAAGAAGAGCAAGCAUUCCUUUGCUAGUUGCUGGCAGUCACAUUUUCGUGUGGAAAAUGACAUAGAAAGACCCCAAGUCCCAAAGAAAAACCUUCACAAUCUAUCAAUAUCUAUCUAUUCUAAGAAAAGUUUAUCUAGUCAUAGAUGGUAGAAUUUCACGAUACCGCGUUAUUCUCUACACCUAUUUACUCAUGCAAAUGAUAUUUAACUAUGCCGUUCUUGUUAAAUAGUUCACAUCGAAUAAAAGAUGGUCUGAACAUGUGUUUAUAAAUGAGAACAAUCUGCACUUUACAAUCCGGUUUUGUAGGACCGUAUUAGGCUUAAUUACGAUUUUUAAGAUGGUAUCAGAGUCUCUCUAAGAUCCAGUAGGCCACCUAUUAUCAGGUUUUCGCUAUUGAGUCACCCACUAUUUAUGUCAACGAACCAAACUCAAUCGUGCUGGUCAUUGGGGGGGGGGGGGGGGGGGGGGGGGGGGGGUUUAUUCAAGAGUCCCACUUCAGAUAAAAGAUGACAUGAACAUAUGUUUAUAAGUGGGGGCAAUCCUUACCUUACAAGUUGGUUUUAUUUGAUUGUGUCAGGUUCAACCAUGAUUUCUAAGAGUUAUAACCUAGAUGAAGCGUUGUGACUCAUUUGGUUUGUUUGAUUUGCAAAAGAUAAAGAUUGAACAAAACAACAAAAGAUAAAAUUAUAUAUGAUAAACUUUUAAGGUAUUUUACAACUUUUUUAUCUUGUUGAUUGUUUGGUGGAUAAAAAUUUAUUUUAGUUUUUUUAACAACUUGUACUAUUUGAGAUAAAAAGUUAUUAUGCGUUUUAGUGAGUGACAAAAGUUUUAAAUUUUGUCAAAUUAUUUAAUCCCUAUAAAUAUACAAUUUUUUAAACUAUUUUCACAAUUCAAGACUUUGUACGUCUAAUGAACAAGUUGGAUGAAACUGGGUUAAUCAUAAGAAAUAAGAUAAGACUUGUAGGUAAAGGGUAUAACCAAGAGGAAGAGAUUGACUAUGAGGAGACCUAUGCUCUUGUAGUCCUACUCGAAGCUAUACGAUUGCUUUUGGCAUUUGCUUCUUGCCUUGAUUUCAAAAUGUUUCAAAUGGAUGUUAAAUCCGUCUUUUUAAAUGGUUUUCUAAACGAAGAUGUCUACGUUUCCCAACCACCCGGAUUUGAGGACAUUGAAUAUCAGGAUCAUGUUUACAAAUUGAAAAGAGCUUUAUAUGGUCUCCAACAAGCUCCUAGAGCUUGGUAUGAGUGUUUGAGUAAGUUUUUGUUAGACAAAGGGUUUUCUCGUGGAAAUGUAGAUAACACCUUAUUUAGCAAACGUAAAGGAAAAAAUAUCCUACUUGUCCAAGUGUAUGUUGAUGAUAAUAUAUUCGGUUCUACUAAUUACAUUAUGAGCCCGUUUGUUAUAACUUUUUUAAGAAAAAAAUCACUUAUUUUAAAAAAAUAAUCACUUUUAAGAGUUUUGCAUCCGUUUGUUACAGCUUUCUAAAAAAAUCAGAAUCUAAAAAAUAAAUCUAAAAAUAUCUUUAAAUGAGAAGCUGUUAAGAGCAACUUCUCAAAAAAAAGAUUUUUUUUAGAGGAGAGAGAAAAUAUUGUUUAAAAGAUUGAACUAAUUUUAUAACAAAAAAUCCCUUUUAUAUAGUUGUAUCCAAACAAACUAGAUUAUUUGUUUAAAAAAAGUGAUUAUUAUUAUGGUAAACAAAUGUAAAAUAGAUUAUGAUUUUUCAUAAAAUCUCUAAAAUAUAAUCUCUAAAUUAUUUUAUGUCAAAAUCACUUUGAUUUUAAUCCGUAACAAAAGGGCCCUAUGUGUUAAGAAUUUUUUAAGUUGAUACGGGGAGAGUUUGAGAUGUCUCUCAUGGGGGAGCUCACCUUCUUCCUUGGUCUUCAAAUAAAGCAAACCCGUGACAGAAUCUUUAUAAGUCAAACAAUAUAUGCCCUCGAGCUACUAAAGAAGUUUGAUAUGCAAGAUUGCAAGUCAAUCUCAACUCCUAUGGAAUCCGCACUAUCCAUUGGCAAAGAUGAGUCCGACAUCGAGAUAGAUGGCAAGAAAUACCGAGGUAUGAUCGGCUCUUUGCUUUAUUUAACCGCAAGUCGACCCGAUAUUAUGUUUAGUGUUUGUAUGUGUGCUAGAUACCAAGCCUCCCAUAAGGAAUCACAUUUAAAAAAUUGUAAAAAGGAUUUUCAGAUAUUUGAGUAGCACUACUAAUUUUGGAUUAUGGUAUCCAAGGGGGAGUUAUGUUGUUUAGUUGGGUUUUUAGAUUCUGACUUUGCCGGUUUUAAAUCAGACCGGAAAAGCACAAGUGUGGCUCUUUCUACCGCAGAGGCUGAAUAUGUGGUAGCCGGGAGUUGUUGCUCACAAAUUUUAUGGAUCAAACAACAACUCCUUGACUAUGAUUUAAAACUAGGAUGCAUUUCAAUCUAAUGUUAUAACGCUAGUGCUAUAAAUCUCACCAAAAAUCCAGUGUUACAUUCAAAGACUAAGCAUACUGAGAUUUGACAUCACUUCCUCAGGGAUCAUGUUGAAAAGAAGGAUGUAACGUUCGAGUACGUUGACACUAAAAGUCAGCUUGCUGACUUUUUUACAAAACCACUACCAUCCGAGUCUUUUCUCAAAAUCCGUAGGAAAUUAGGUAUCUUGGAUACCUCUUGCUUUAAAUAAGCAAGAGCUUCUUUUUAUUUAUUCUCCUUAAUCUAUUUUCAUUAAUUCAAGUUUCUUACAUGCGUAUCCUUAUCUUGUGUGCUUACAUUUGCAUGUUCACUUGUUUUCAAUUGCGAUUGUUACUUGUGUUGUUAUAACUUGUAAUUGUCCACUUAUUUUACUUAAAUUACUUGUGUUGGUUACUAUCCUUUUUGACGUUUUCAAAGGGGGAAGAAAUGGUUGGAUGGUGUCCUUGUUAGAGCUGUCAAAACGGGCCGGCUCGAAAGCCUGAAAAAAAUGUAGGGCUUGGGCCUAAAAAUGGCAGCCCAAAUUUAAAUAGGGUUUUUUGGCCCAGCCCGUAAAAGCCCGAAGCCCGUUAGGGCUAGCCCGUGCGGGCUACGGGUAGCCCGCCAGCCCGUGUAAUUAAAAUUACAAAAUGAAGCUACUGUUUGGGCUUGUGUGGUGUGUGUGGCCCAAUUUCACUUUUCUGGCCCAAUCCAACAAAAUAAGCAAUUUCUAGCUUUCUACCCAUCCAACAAAAGAAACCAGUUCACGUCUCUCUCCCUCAGAUUCACUCUCUCACCAUGGAAACUUCACAAACCAUAAAAAUUUCAGCUGCGCAGUCGAUUUUUCAUCCGUUCGUCUCGUUUUCCGUCAUCGUGUAACUCGUGUUCUUCAUUGACUCGUCUUCUUCCAUCCAUUUCUAUUAUAUUCCAUUUUUAAUUUCUGCUUUAAUAUUACUCAAGUUGUGCUGAAAAAUAUUAUGUCUAUGUUGCUGGUUUAUGUAUUUAUUGGGAUCUAAUGCAUAUUAUUUUAAUCAAUAUUUGGAGUAUGUGGUUAAAAGGAUUUAUUUGAUUAUGUUAAAUUGAUUUUUGAAGCUGCAACGUCUGUUGUUAAUGUUCAUAAGUUUAUUCAUUUUUUUUCUACAAGUUAAUGAGAAUAAAUUUUAAUCCUUCACAAUAAAAUGCAGUUUCUGCCCUUUGUUCUCAAGUGGAUUAUGAAUUCACUACACAUACAUUAAAAAAAAAGGUAAGAUGGGCCGGCCCGUUAGCCCGGGAGCCCGUAUAGGGCCGGGCUCGGGCUCUAAUGUAACACCCCGUUUUCCCAACAUAAAAAUUUUUAAAAACAUUUAUCAGAGUAAGCAUCAAAACAACGGGAUAUCACAUAUAACGUAAUCCAACAGUUAAAUAAUAGUUUAACCAAUAUCUUAAACAUUGCAGCGGAAAAUCAUAAACAUAAUUCAUAAAACGUUUUGGCACGCAGGCCCCCAUCAAACAGUUCAUAUCAUAAUCCAUAACAUUAUAAAAAUAACAUAUAAGUCACGUAAGAGAAUGAAGCAUGCAUAAACAUAAACCCCAUCCCGCUACGUAUCAGAGCGACCUAGACGACACAGUGAGGCAAUGCCACUCAUAGAAGCAACUGCACACUAAGCACGAUCACCUGCAAGUUACCCAUACGAAGGGCAACAUUUUCAAGCAGAAGGGGUGAGAUUUCAUAACAAAAUAAUAUUAAUCAAGUAAUUCGAAUCAUAGUUAACAUUAACAUCAUAUUCAUUCUUAAAUAACUUUGCAUAAUCAAAUAACAAAUAUCACGUAUUCACAUAUUCAAUAAACAAAUAUCACGUAUUCACAUAUUCAAUCGUCAUCAACAACAUAGCAUUAUGGACAUGANNNNNNNNNNNNNNNNNNNNNNNNNNNNNNNNNNNNNNNNNNNNNNNNNNNNNNNNNNNNNNNNNNNNNNNNNNNNNNNNNNNNNNNNNNNNNNNNNNNNNNNNNNNNNNNNNNNNNNNNNNNNNNNNNNNNNNNNNNNNNNNNNNNNNNNNNNNNNNNNNNNNNNNNNNNNNNNNNNNNNNNNNNNNNNNNNNNNNNNNNNNNNNNNNNNNNNNNNNNNNNNNNNNNNNNNNNNNNNNNNNNNNNNNNNNNNNNNNNNNNNNNNNNNNNNNNNNNNNNNNNNNNNNNNNNNNNNNNNNNNNNNNNNNNNNNNNNNNNNNNNNNNNNNNNNNNNNNNNNNNNNNNNNNNNNNNNNNNNNNNNNNNNNNNNNNNNNNNNNNNNNNNNNNNNNNNNNNNNNNNNNNNNNNNNNNNNNNNNNNNNNNNNNNNNNNNNNNNNNNNNNNNNNNNNNNNNNNNNNNNNNNNNNNNNNNNNNNNNNNNNNNNNNNNNNNNNNNNNNNNNNNNNNNNNNNNNNNNNNNNNNNNNNNNNNNNNNNNNNNNNNNNNNNNNNNNNNNNNNNNNNNNNNNNNNNNNNNNNNNNNNNNNNNNNNNNNNNNNNNNNNNNNNNNNNNNNNNNNNNNNNNNNNNNNNNNNNNNNNNNNNNNNNNNNNNNNNNNNNNNNNNNNNNNNNNNNNNNNNNNNNNNNNNNNNNNNNNNNNNNNNNNNNNNNNNNNNNNNNNNNNNNNNNNNNNNNNNNNNNNNNNNNNNNNNNNNNNNNNNNNNNNNNNNNNNNNNNNNNNNNNNNNNNNNNNNNNNNNNNNNNNNNNNNNNNNNNNNNNNNNNNNNNNNNNNNNNNNNNNNNNNNNNNNNNNNNNNNNNNNNNNNNNNNNNNNNNNNNNNNNNNNNNNNNNNNNNNNNNNNNNNNNNNNNNNNNNNNNNNNNNNNNNNNNNNNNNNNNNNNNNNNNNNNNNNNNNNNNNNNNNNNNNNNNNNNNNNNNNNNNNNNNNNNNNNNNNNNNNNNNNNNNNNNNNNNNNNNNNNNNNNNNNNNNNNNNNNNNNNNNNNNNNNNNNNNNNNNNNNNNNNNNNNNNNNNNNNNNNNNNNNNNNNNNNNNNNNNNNNNNNNNNNNNNNNNNNNNNNNNNNNNNNNNNNNNNNNNNNNNNNNNNNNNNNNNNNNNNNNNNNNNNNNNNNNNNNNNNNNNNNNNNNNNNNNNNNNNNNNNNNNNNNNNNNNNNNNNNNNNNNNNNNNNNNNNNNNNNNNNNNNNNNNNNNNNNNNNNNNNNNNNNNNNNNNNNNNNNNNNNNNNNNNNNNNNNNNNNNNNNNNNNNNNNNNNNNNNNNNNNNNNNNNNNNNNNUUUAACAAUAAAAUAAAUCCCUUAAUCUUAUCAAAUCUUCCAAAAACUCAUAACUUAUCUCAAUAUCAAUCAAACCAUCAAUAUAGUCGUAAAUCAUUCAAAUCAUACCAUAAUCAUGCAUAUAUUAUAUAAAUAUAAUAUAAUCGCCUAAACUCGAUUAAAUAAGCAAUUAACAAAAGUGGGCGUUACAUCUAAUAUUCAAGCCCAUUUUUCAACAGGGCUUUUUGGCCCGGCCCGAUAAAGCCCGAAGCCCGUUAGGGCCGGCCCGUUUAGGGCCGGACCGUCCGUUUUGACAGCUAUAGUCCUUGUGCUAUUCCCUAUGUUUCUUUCUAUUGCUUGUGUUUGCUGUUUCUUUUGAAUGCUAUGUUUCAGGGGGAGCUAUCACAUCAUCAACUUGUUUUGAGAGCAUCAAAAAGAGGGAGAUUGAAGCUUAUAUAAUUUUUUACUUUUUUGUGAUUUUGAUGAUGUUCCUUAGUUAAUCCUUUUGAUGUUUGUUUUUCUCCUUGUUCUCUAGCAUAUAGUCAUGUUAAAUCACCUAGCAACUAUGUCUCAUUGACCUAGGAUUCAUUGGUGUCUUGUGCAUUGUUCACACAUAUGGAACUUAGCCUUAUUCAUCAUUUUUCAGUGUCUGAAUCGAUUCACCAGUGUUUGAAUCGUAUCAUCAGAAGUUUCUGACUUCAAAUGGUACAAUUCAAAAGUUUUUGAAACAUAUCACUACUGAAUCGAUUCAACUUUUCUUGAAUUAUACUAGGAGUGAUAGGGUGGCAUUGACUACCCAAGAUUUGUAUUUCUAUUGAAUGAUUAAGUAUAUUAUUAUAGUUAGCUACCCCAAUAAUAUAUUAAUAUAUUGUUUCCUACCUCAAAUAAGUUUACAUGCAAAAAAAUUAGCAUAAAUAAAGUGGUUAAAAAAUUAUUAUUUGAUUAAUAAUUUAUUUGUCUUAUUUUAACAUUUCGGUCACUACAACAACAAUAGAGAAUGCAUUUUCAUCAAUAAAAAUGAUUAAUGAUCAAAUAGAUGAUUGUUUAAUUCAAAUUGCUUAUUUAUUUAUUUUUGAAAAAUAGUUUGUUAGAUUAUUUAGCAAUUAUUCAUUUAUAAAUAUAUUUUCUCUCAAAAAAAAUUAUAAAUAUAUUUGACUCUUUGAAGCCUAAUUUUAUAGAGAUUUAAGAUAUUAAACCCUUAAAUUUAAUUUAUAAAGUUUAAAACAAUUUAAUUUUUCUUUGCAUUUUUUUGAAGAAGGUAAAAUCGAAUAUAUUUAUCAGAAACUUAGUCUCUCAAGCAUAAGAGGUGCCAAAGAAGAGCUAAGAAGAGUGUCUGUUACAUGAGGUUACCAAAAAGAAACUAAGUGUUACAACCACAGAGAAGCACGCUAAAAGCACAAAAGAGAUUGAAAAUAAAAAAUGAACUCCCGAACAUAAAAGGGGAUUAAGCCACCACACGUGAUAGUUAAAAAAAAAAGGUGAUUUGCCUUCAACCACCAGAAGGAUUGAAGCUUAAUUUCAUCUAUAAGUUGAUUAAUAGAUUCUCCCUUUUGUGUGAAGACCCUAACAUUCUUGCCACACCAAAUAAUCCAAACACAUGAAAGCUAGAUCAUAUAAAAAGCAUAACAAAUGUUCUUAAGAGAAACCACCUAAAGAUACAAUAUCUUCUUUAGAGCCACAUCCACAUGAAUAAAAAGAUGUAUUCGGCUGAAGUACAUGUCUUCUGAUUAAGUUCUCAAUUAUUGGAAGACGAUUUCGAAUUAAACGCAAAUGAAGACGUUGACUUUUAAAGUAAUCUCCUUGUGUCAAAUGAUAGUGUGGUCAUUGUUUAAAGGUUGAUCCAUUGAUGUCAAAAAGUUGUAAGCACUAGUAACAAUGUAUUUUGAUGAGGCAUGAAGUUGUCAAAUCCACCUGUCAUUCACAUCAGCAUGCAAAACAAUAGGUAAUAAAAACGAACAACACUCACACUCCAAUUCUUCCUCCCAAGUCUCAAGUUAACAACCUCCUUUACCAUUUUCAAGCCUCGUCUUCCUCCCUCAUCCUAACAAAAACAUAUCUGCCACAGUUGCCAAUUUGCUAUCAAAAAGGUCAUAAAGACUACUAAAUCUAUCCUUAAGAAUACCUCCCUCCAAUCAAGGAUCCCACUAAAAUAAAGUUCCUACUACAUCUCCCACCUUUCUCCGUAAGUGAUCGAUAAAUCAACUAUCAACCCCUCUCCUACACCACCUUUAAUGCUAAACAUCUUUACAUUGGACCCCUAGUGAAAAUUAGUUUGGCUUCGCCGGUAAUUUCUACCAAACUUCAUACACGCCUACAAAGCCAAAUCUAUUUGAAAGAUUGGAUAGAGAGCAAACUUAAUAAUCUCCAAAUGCUUAAUAAGCCGCCGGAUAUCAAAUCCACCAUGACAUAAAGAUUAUGAAGGAUUUUAGUUAAUUAUUUAUUUGAAGUGGGUAAGUGGAAAAUGGAAGAUUAACUAACUCCAUGUUUUCUAUAUAUAUAUAUAUAUAUAUUUUGUUUGAUUAUCAUGAUAUUAGUAUGAAAUUUUCAUUAUCGGUUAGCAUCGACUGAUCGUUGGAAAAUCUAUGAAUAACAGAAAAUAGAUUCUUCUCUUCCAAUUAAAUUUCUGCAUAACCACAAAGCGAACCCAUGAUUAUAUAUUUUAAGGGAUCCAAAUCUCUUGCCUGGGUUUGGUUGCUUUAUAUUAUUCUAAAUGUAAAUGUAGAUGAUAAUAAUAUUUUCUUUUAAAAAUGAAAAUGCAGACCUAACUAUCUAGCAAGAGAACUUACGAGUGCGGCACUUCAUGGCGAUAGUGGAUUCUUCGUGGGAUAACUAACUAGACUGGAAACAAUAAUAAAAAUAUAUUUAAAAGACCAAUAACCACACUAGAGUUAUAUUUUUUUUAAGAAUAAUAAUAACCACACUAGAGUUAAAUUAUAUUAAAAACAUCUACCAAAAAAAAAAAAAAAUUAUAUCAAAAACAACCAUAUUCGUAUUUGAAUGUGUGAGCUACGGUACUUGUAGCUGCUAAAUGUAUUAAAAUUACAAAUACAUUUUUGAGUGUCUAAAGAUUAUUUUGAUCUCAAAUGUGAUUUAUUUGGUCAAUUUAGUCAUUAAGUUUAUCUUUAGUCAAUUUAUUCCAUAAAAUUAUAAACAAGAAAACAUUUGGAGAUUUACGAUGAGAUACAUUUAAGAACUAUAAUAACAUUGUCUUACAUAUUCAAAGACCAAAUUAAUUAUUUACCUUUUGAAUGUAUAUUUUUUUGUACAUCUAUUGUUAAAAAACUUCUUUCAAAACAUUGUUUUGAAAUCAUUUCUCAAUCCAUUGUGAAAAAAUUAUUUUUCAAAGAAGUUGAUAUAUAUAUAUAUAUAUAUAUAUAUGAGUUUUGUUAGAAGCCACCCAUGAAGGUGUCUUUUGACAACCCACGCCUCAAGGUGUGAUUUUCACUUUUUAGUUAUAACUUUGCUAAAAGACACAUUUAUAAAAUUUAGUUGGUGUCUUUUAACAAAUGCUCAUAGAAUAACUUGCUAAAAAACACCUUCAUAAAAGGUGUCUUCUAGCAAAACCCUAUAUAUAUAUAUAUAUAAAGCUUUAAGAUAAAAUUAAAAGAUUUUCCACUCUAUUGUGCUUUAAUUAAGAUUUUAUCAUAAGUUAUACCAGGAGUGUGAUCUAUUUAGACUUUUUUUUUUAAAAGGCUAAAGAAAAAUAUAUUAAAAAUCCAAAUAAAGCUCCUCUAACAUAAGAAGAAGUGUGAGAGAAACUUAUCAAUCCAUGAAACUCACCUUACAAGAAACAGUAACAACUACGCAACAAAGGAAAAAUUAACAAACUGCCGGUAAGCAGCAUGACAAAGAAUUCUGCCUUUAAAGAUGAUAAUCAAAAUCGAACAAGAUAUAAUACGAUUUUAACCACCAAUAAAUCUGAAGCUUGACCUUUUCACUUAAAGAUUGAAGAAGAUUAAUUUUAUGUUGAAAAAUCAUCUCAUUCACCUCCUUCGAAAUGACACAAAGCACAUAAAUCUAGAUAAUAUUUAAAGUCAGAUGAGAGUUUUUGUAGAACCCACCUAACCCACCAAACGACAUAAGAUGAUCUUGUAAAUUGUCAUGAAAACUUGUUGAAAUACCUAACAAACUCGAAAUCAAAGACCAAAGUCGUCCAAACAAGUCACAAUUAAUGAAUAAAUGGUCUAUAUCUUCCACACGUCCACAAUCAGCCGAAAAAUUAAUAUCAAUUUUAACCGAAAUUUGACGCCUAAACAAGUUAUCCUUUGUUGGAAUCCUAUUAAAAAACAACCGCUGGACAAAAACGUUAAAUUUGAGGGGAACUGCUUUAAGCCAAAACACAUCAUUAUAUUCCACAAUGAAAUUGAUUUUUAUAGUAGUUAAGUUGUUAUAAGCACUUUUGACCGUUUACAAUUGGAACGAAUGAAGCUUCUAAACCCAACGGUAUGCCACCUCAACAUGCAAAACAACACGUAUCAAUUGAUCCACACACUCCCUCACCAACUCCUCCUUCCACACAAACAACCUCCUACGCCAUUUCCAAGCCUCACCAUUCACCGCAAAAUGCUUACCUACAACAAUAGCUAAUUUAUUCUCCGCCAAUUCAAAAAGCCUUAUAAAUUUAACAUCUAAAGAGGCACCGUCAAACCACAAACCACACCAAGACGUUUUCCUAAAAUCUAAAGAGACUUAAGGAGAAUCAGCCGACCCCCUAAAGAGAGAUUCCUACUCUUUCUUCCUGACAAUCUACUUCGAAUAAGUCUAACCAAAGGGUACCAAAAAUGAAGCUUUUUAGGAUCCCCACCAAUAGGAAACCCCAAAUACAAAAAAGGAAGACAACCUUGUUUACUAUUCAUCACCAAAGCCGCCUCAUGCAACCACGACUUAACCACAUUAAUUCCAAACAACAUGCUUUUGUGAAAAUUAACUUUUAAACCAGAAAUCUCUUCAAACAAAAUUAAAACUGCCUUCAAUGAUCUAAAAUUAGCCCAAAUUUUGACCCCCAUCAGCAGUGUAUCAUCAUCAAACUACAAGUGAGAGACAGACACAUUAGCUUGCGCCCCCACAUCGAAAUCAGUAAUCAAUUUAAACCUUCAACAUCAAAUAGAAAAAGAUGAAAGUGGAUCUGACCAAGCCCUCUUUCCAUCUUAAACUCAUUAGUUGGGCUCAUAUUCACAAGCACUGACUUGUCGCUGUUGUUACACAUUCUAAAAUCCACUUACACCAAAGUAGAGGAAAGUUCAUUUUAACCAUCACAUCUCCCAAAUACCUCAAUUCAACCGAAACAUGCGCUUUCUCAAAAUCAUCCUUAGAAAGAGUGAUCCUUUCUUCGAACUACGUGCAUCAUCCACUAAUUCAUUGACUAUUAAAAUACAAUCUAGGAUUUGUCUUCCUUUGACGAAAGCUGACUGAGACUCCGGCACAACAUUACCAACCACAUUUCUCAAUCUAUUAUCAAGCACCUCUGACAAAAUUUUAUACAAACAACCAACCAAUGAUAUAGGGGAAAAAACUACCAACCUUUGAGGAAUUUCAACUUUGGGAAUCAAUGCUAUAAAAGUACCAUUAAUACCCUUGGUUAACUUACCAUUUCGAUGAAAAACAACAAAGAAAUUCAACAAAUCUACCUUUAAUAUAUCCCUAAAAUCUUUGAUAAUAUCAAGAUUAAUCUCAUUCGGCCCAUGACUCUUGAAACUAUCAGAGCCUCGCAUCGCUUCCUUGAUCUCUUCAAGCAAGAAAGGUCUAAUAAGAUCAGCCCCUCAUCCACACUAAUAGAUUUGAAAGAAAGAUUCCCCAUCCCUGGUUUAGAUAUUAAAAACUUUCCAAAGAUUUUCCUCCCUAUUGUGAUUUUUCAAACUUUACAAACUACAUUUAUUCCAUAACACUACUAGUAAUUUAUUCCAUAAAAUGAAAGAAUCGAAGAAAAUUAUAUAUUAUCAUAUAUUGUGGAUUUUUUUUUAAGAAAUCAAAAUGGAAUAUAUUAACAACGGCGAUGAAAUCUCAUUAGUACAAGGUGUACUAAAGGAUCCAAUCCGGUAAACAAACAGUCAUAAAGUAUAAUUACAAAAUGAAGGUCAGUCGAUGUUGGUGUAAGCCCUAGAGGCCAAUAGUUUAUGUUAAACUUAUCUUAUGUAUCAUGACUUUUAUUAUUGAAUAAUAUAUGACACUCUUUAUUAUAUUUAGAUAAUGUUAAUAAAGUCCUUAGAAUAGAUAGUUCAUGUAAUUAUAUAUUAAUUGUGACUUAAUCAUGAGAUUACAUUAUCUUAAAGAACGCUAUUCUUAAAUGUAUCCGUAGUCAAAGCUUUAAUAUGAAUAAAGGAUAAUAAUAAAGUGUCGAGACUAUUAUGUAUGUAGACUUAUGACCUCAUCUCAUGGGUCAUAGAUAUGAGAUAUCAAGUCUAUACAUAGGUAUAAAUAUUAGGAGUAAUAUUUAUAUUGGAUUGACCCACCGUGAGAAUACUACAUAGUAAGUUAUGAAAUUGUCAUAAGAUAUUCUUACAAUGAUAAUAAUGUAUAUCGCUCUUAGACCUGAAACCACUAUGAUCCCUAGAUGUGGACUCAAGUGCUUUGUUGCCAUUCUAACGUUGUCUGUAAAAGGAUAAUCAUAACGUUGGUUGAUGGGUACUUGAUGAAUCAUGCUAAGGGGCAUGAGUGUCCUAGAUGGGAUUUGUCCCUCCUCAUAAACAGGAGAUAUAUCUUUAGGCCUCUUGAUGAAAUAUGACUGUAAAAUUGCAUGGCCAUGCCGAACUAAGUCAAUAUGAGAUAUUGGACUUAUUCGUUAUUCAGUAUAUUUCGGAAUCAAGAAAUAUAAUUAUUGAUCUAUACAAGGGUGACAAUACCUAUGCCUUGGGAUCAAUAAAAGGUAUCGAGACAAAAGAGUAAUUGUACACAUGAAUUUUAUCAUGAAAGGUUUCGUCAGAUCACUUGACAUUCUUGUCACUUGGGUAGCAAUGAUGUGUUGCUAGAUACCGCUCAUUGUUUAUAAUAUUAAAUAUCAGAUUUAAUAUUAUUGCCAACGUGACUAGAACCUAUAGGGUCACACACAAAGAACAGUCAAAAGAGAAAUAUAUAUAAGUACGACUUAUAUAAGGGGUGUGUUUAGUAAAUAACGCUAAUUAGUUAGCAAAAUUACUAAACUCGUUAUUGGGCUUAGUGAAGUCCAAUAGUGGCUUCUGACUUGCAUAGCACACAAGGAGUUCUAUAAAUAGAACCCUAGUGCUGAAGUUUAAGGUUACGCGUUUUGAAGAAACCCUAGCUCUCUGAAACUUCUGAUUCCUUGGCUAGCACCGAGUUUUGGAUGAGCACUGUUCGUGUGGACUUGCUAGAGGCUUUGCUGCUUGCUGCUUGCUUUGCUAUGAUCGUGAUUCCGGUUUCCAGCUUUCAGUUUUUAGUUUCACACUUCGAGGUAACAAUCGAAUCACUGAUUCAUGUGUAAUUCGUAAUGAUCCAAGGAAAGAAAAUCGAAUUAUUUUCCGCUGCUUAUUCUGUAUUAAAAAAAUCGAUUUUCCUUCAGUCGACACCCAAACAAUGUAGAGGGUUCGACCACCAACUUUGAGAACCGUACACAAAAGUGGUAUUAUUGGCUUUAAGCCACCACAACGAAUGAAAUUUAACUUUAUCUAAUAGCUGCUCAAUAGGUGUUUCAGUGUUUUUGAAUAGUCUGUUGUUUCGUUCGUUCCAUAUCAUCCACACACAAAGAAGCCAUAAUAAUUGUAAAAAUGAUCGACGAGCCUUUGAAUAACCUGAAUAAUGGAUAAAUUGAUAAAAAUGAUCAUGGACAUUGUCAGCGUCUGACACCCGACACUCCAAUCCAAGAUCUAAUCUGCUGCCAAAUUGAUAAAAAUGAUCAUAUAUUGUGGAUUAAAAUAAAAACUUUACAAACUUAUUAUUAAAUGAAAAGAUUUUCCACUCUAUUGUGGUUUAAGAUAUAAUCACAAUAGUGUGACCUAAUAUAAACUUUUCAAAGUAGUGAUCUAAUUUAAAAAAACCAAUAAGUUACAAAGUGACGUCUUUUAUUUUAGUGUUGUUAGAAAUUAAUCAAUUGAAAUUAAAUGAUGAAAUUUUAAGAGGACGUGACAACAUUGCAUUUGUUGAUUAAUAUUUGGGAAAAUUGUUUUAUGAGCCGUCUAUCCCCUGCAUACAACUGCAAAGAUUAAUCUCUUAAAUCGGAUAAGAUUAUAAUAAAUGAUAAAAACUCUUCCUCAAAAUAUUUAAAUAAAUUAUAUUGAAAGUGUCAUCUUUACGUAUAUUCUUAAGAUGAAGAUAUGUGUAUCUUUUUUUUUUGGUCAAGAGGAUAUGUGUAUCUUUAAUAUCGAUAACUAAUUAUUUCGAAUUUAUAAUUUUACCAUGAAGAAUAUUAUUGCACCAUGUCGAGGCCUGCAUCUUGAAAUGAAUAAAAUGUACAAUGAGUCAUUUGUUACAAGUCAACUUCGUCAAAGUUUGUCUCUAAUAUGCUAUGAAAUACUAGUGUUGAAACUCAAUGAAAUAGUUUGUUUAGUUAUAUAAUGGGUGACGUGUGAAAUUGAUCAUUUAUUGGACCUACAUUCAUAAUUUUGGUCUAUAAAGUCCAAGCACCCGACAAGGAGUGUGUGCAUAAGCCUCUUCAAGCAUGUCUUCAAAAAUUUCUCAUUUCUUCUUGGUUUCUCUUGUUCUCUUUUUCUUUUGCUUUUUAGAGAAGAGCUUUGCCAUUGAAAGAACAUUGGAGGAAAGACACCAUCUUGUUCAAAUUAGCUCUCUCCUACCAUCAACUUCUUGCAGCUCUUCUACCAAAGGUCAAUAUAUUUACUCUUACAUGCAUGCUAGCAACUUUUAUUGAUUUUAUUGUUAAUUUCUACCAAAUAAAUUGAGCUAUAGAAUAGCAUAGAUACAUAAUUUGCAGUGGCAUAAAUCAAAGGACAACUUAAUUAAAUUAAUAUUGUUCCUAAUUAUUUGUAGUUAAUGUUGGUAUGUAGCAUAUGGUACACAUAAACUCUCCGGUCUUGUUUUGAGGGUUAUAGUAACUAAAUAAUUAGUGUCAUGUUUGAGGGUCAUAGUAGCUAAAUAAUUAGUAUCAUGUAAGUGUAGAGUAAAAAACUGCAGGGAUAUUUGAUAUGUUAAGCAUGCAAUUCCCAUUUCUUUUUUUACACACGUCAAAUACCUUUCAACAUCUUAAUGCUCCUACUUAGGUCAUAAGCUUGCGUUAUAAAGCUCAGCGCAUGCAAUUUCCAUCUUGAACGCACUAAUAAAUGUGUAAGUUUCGCUUGUCACACUCUUUGACAAAAAAAUAAUAAUUAAACAACCAAUUCCUUGGACAAAUUAUAAACUGAUGGAGGAAAUAGAGUGAGAGAGAGAGAAAAAAAAAAAAGAGCAAUUAUUUGUUUGAUAUAUUCCAUAAAAAAGGAAGAGAAAAUGAGCAAUUCUGCCAAUUUCUUUCAUGGGUGGGCAUCAUUUGUCACGGAGAAUAUUCACAUGGAACCCACCAUCUUGUGCUUAGUGCUUUCUCAACAAAUAAAAUGGAACCCAUCUUAAAAAAAAAAUGGAAUCCACCAACCAUCACAUAUUAAAGAUAGGAAGGAUAAAGGAACAAAAGCCAGCUGCCACUCAUACAUUUCUUGUUUGAUUAAUCGUUUUUAUCCAUAAUAAAAAAUAAUAUUAAAUUUUUUACUUUAUUAAGAAUAUAUAUAUAUAUAUAUAUAUAUAUAUAUAUAUAUAUAUAUAUGUAUAUAAACAUAUACAAACAAAUGAUUAUAAUGUUUUGUAAAAAAAAAUUGAUUAGAAUGUCAUAAUAAACUUAUUAACAUGAAAAAUUUAACGGCAAAAACAAAUUAAGUCAUUUGAUAUAUUUACCUCCGACCGAAUUUCAUAUUACUAUGACUAUUUUCUUGAAAAUGGUAGGGUUAAGAAAAAAAAAAUUGUGCAAGUUGUUAUCACUACAAAAAUAAUGUAUUUCUUGUUUUUUCUCCUCCUUACUUUAUACUAGUAUGGACAAAAAGAUAAGUUUAUAAUCACGGGUCUUCAUGAACAACAUUAAUACAUAGACAUAAAUAUUGACUAUGAAAGAAUCUCAUUCACGGGUCAGUGAUCACGAUUAUAUAUUUUGGCUAAACUCAUUGAUUGAUCAAGUAUAGCAUUGCAUUUUGUUGAAUUAUAGAUACAAACUUAGUAUUUCAACAGAAAAAACAAUAUUCAUUCACGUUUGGUACCAACCCACUAAAGUUUUUUUUUAUAGAUAGACGAAAUGACAAAGUCAUUAUACUCACCCACAUAAGUGGAAGUAUCGGGGUUCGAACCCCGAUCAUAACAUCUGAUUUAACAAUUUCGGCAUUUUGCCAGUUGAGCUAGGACUUCUGGAUCCAACCCACUAAAGUUAAAAAACAAAUAACAAGUGGCUAGUUUUCAUAUUAGCUACACGUCACGGUUUUCUACCCAACUAGCUAUUAUUAUUUUAGGCAAACUUUAUAUAGAUGAAGAUAUUGACAAAAUUUGGCCAAAAGAUCUUGAGAUGGAAAGGUGUGUAAAAUCUUGACGUGUUUUUCCAAUUUUCAUUGUCGUAAAAGAAAGAAAAGAAACUAAAAUAUUUGUGGACUUUAGUCAAUGAUUUAACUAGAUGGGGAUACAAUUAAUUAUAUCAUAGGGUAUACGAGAAUUAGUCUAUUGCUUUUUGUAAUUACUUGUCACCUUAAAUUUUUGGAAAGAGUAGCCUUAUAAAAUUACUUGCAAAAGAUGAGUGACUCUUUUCAUAAACUCUUAUAAAAACUUUAUAUAUUUUCCAUGUCGAAAAUGUAUUUUCUCAAUAUGUCAAAUUGACACUUAAGAUUUUUCGAAUACACAUCCACCACACUUGUCACUACCGGCUUUGUGAAUAAAUAUAAGUGACAGGUGGCGAAGACAGAUAGAGCAUAUACCAAAUUUGAUUUUGACUUGAAUUUAAUUCAACCUUAUAAGAUCAAUCUAUAUAUUUUCGAUGCAAGACUUGGGUUUUUUUUUUUUUUAAGUCAGAUAUAAAUUCUUUAAAUAACAUCGAGAGUACUCCAAUUAAUCCAUAAUUUUAAUUGAAUUGUAUCUAUUCUUUUAUUUUAAACAGAAAACUAAUUUUAUUAAUGAUCCAUACAAGCACAACCACAAAGUAAAGACACAAAAGUACAAAUUGAAAACAUCAAGCACCAAUACUUUGACAAUAAUAGAUGGAACUUCACACUUUGCAUUUAUUCAAUUUCAAUAUCAACUUGUAAGGUUCAAUUUUUUGUGUUUAUUCGAAUCAGAUAAAAACAUACAUGCAUGAAAUAAUGUAAUAUAAUAUAUAAUAUAAUUAAUUGUAUUUGAAUAGUACUCAAUCUCAUCCAAGACAAAAAAAAAAAAUGUGAGUGGUGGACAGUGGGGAAAGCUAGAAGUUGGAAAAAUGAUUAUUUUUAAUGCAAAAUUAUAUUAAAUUUUAUUAUGUGGUAUUUAGUUAUAUGUACAUCCUCCGAUCACUAAUAUAAACAAAAAUCUACUUUUUAGAUAAUUCAAUUAAUGAUGUAUGUGACAUAUAAUAAAGACCACAUACAUCAUUAAUUGAAUGUAUCUAAAAUGGAUUUUUGCUUAUAUUAGUGACCGGAGGGUGUACCAAACUAUAAUAAUAGAAAACAAUUAUUGGUGGGUAUAAAUAACCCUCUCACUUGUGAUAUAUAACCAACUCAAGAUAAGAUUUUGUCUUUGAGUCCUUGAGAGAUAUGUUUCCAUGACCUCUAGAUUCCUUGGUAUAGUCAUUCUCAUCCUUAUAUUAUCAAGUAUUUUCAUAUAUUCCCUAAAAAAAUAAUAUUCUCAUACAUAUAACAAAAAUUUAAUUUAACAGAAGAAUCGAAUUUAUGAGUUACCUUUUUCUAGGGCAACUUUUGAGUUACUUCUAAAAAGGUUGAAUUACCAACAAAAAUUUGAGACAGAUAAAAUGUAAAUAUUGAUAUCUAACUUUAGCAAGUCUUUAACAUUUCAUGAAAAAAUUAGAAAAAAUAUAUAUAUUUUUAAUUUGACUUUAUUUCUAAUAAUAUUGUAUGGAUGUCAUUAUUCAUUAUUAGAAAAAAUAUAUAUUUUUAAUUUGUUUUUUGUGUAUUAUGCAAUAUAUGACAUUACCUUGAUGAAUAGACUUGUAUUAUUGAUUUUAACGUAGUAGUUAAGCAACAAUAAUUUGACACCACUAAGCAUGUUUCAUUGUUCAAAUUCAGGUACCAAAACAAAAGCAUCAUUAGAAGUGUUACACAAACAUGGGCCAUGUUCCCAAGUGAAUAAUGGAAAAGCAAAAAUUAUUCCAGCACACAGUGAUAUUCUUGAUCAUGACAAAGAAAGGGUGAAUUAUAUUCACUCCAAAUUAUUAUCAUCGAUUAAGAAUAAUAAUUUGGAGGGCUUGGAUUCUAAAUCUAAAUCAAUUAAGUCACGUAAAUCAGCUAACCUACCAGCUAAAUCUGGUAGCCUUAUUGGAUCAGGGAAUUAUUUUGUUGUUUUAGGGCUUGGAACUCCUAAAAAGGAUUUGUCACUUAUUUUUGACACUGGUAGUGAUCUCACUUGGACUCAAUGUCAACCUUGUGUUGGUUCUUGUUACAAGCAACAAGAUGAAAUUUAUGAUCCAACAAAGUCUACUUCUUAUUACAAUAUUACAUGCACUUCUUCAGAUUGCACUCAGCUCUCUUCAGCUACAGGUAUAUAUUAUUACAUUAUAAUUAUAUUAUAACGAUUAAAGAGUCAGUUAUAUAUCCCCGUGAGCUUACCUCAGUUGGAAGGGAUAUUGCAUUUAAUAUGUAGGAGCUGGGGUUCGAAUCCCGACACUCCACAAUUAAAUUAUGUGAGCUCUAACCACUAGACUAUUUGAAAAAGGAAGAAAAAAAAAAGAGUUAGUUAUAUUAUAAUGAUUAAAAAAAAUUAUUUACUUGUUUUGUUACAUUAUUAUUAUAGGGA